CCUGCGGGCUCCCCAUCCGACCCGUCUUGAAACACGGACCAAGGAGUCUGACAUGCGUGCGAGUCGACGGGUUUUGAAACCUGGGAUGCGCAAGGAAGCUGACGAGCGGGAGGCCCUCACGGGCCGCACCGCUGGCCGACCCCGCACUUCUGUGAAGGGUUCGAGUUGGAGCACGCCUGUCGGGACCCGAAAGAUGGUGAACUAUGCCUGAGCGGGGCGAAGCCAGAGGAAACUCUGGUGGAGGCUCGAAGCGAUACUGACGUGCAAAUCGUUCGUCUGACUUGGGUACAGGGGCGAAAGACUAAUCGA
rnacentral:ncRNA from 1 species